rnacentral:tRNA from 2 species
GUCAGGGUAGCUCAGCUGGUUAGAGCGCUGGUCUCAUAAGCUGGAGGUCGGGAGUUCAAGUCUCCCCCUUGACACCA